CUCAUAGUUCAAGAGUACAGUACCUCAUGGGCUGGGCUGGAGUGUAAGGCAGCUGAUCACAUUACAUCACUGUUGUAAGAGCGAACCAAAGGCAGAGAACUUCUCAACUACCCAGACUCCUCCCACUGAGGCCCCAGUCACAACCUUCUGUUUGUUUCUUUCUGUUCGGUUUCGACUGAACCAUCAGUUGCCGGGGAGCCGUUCUGGACAAGAAGGUGAUUGUUGGAGGGCCAAGGCCGCAGGAAAAUGGACAAAGAAGGAGGAGGAGGAAGAGAGGAAAAGGAGGAAGAAGAAGAGAAAAAAGAAGAGAAGGAGGAGUUCUGGAGAGAUGAUUCAGUUGUGAAGAGCACUUGCUAUUCUUUCAGAUGAUCUGGGUUCAGUUCCCAGUACUUGUGUGAUGGUUUGUGUAUGCUUUGCCCAGGGAGUGGCCCUGUUAGGAGGUGUGGCCUUGUUGGAGUAGGUGUGUCACUGUGGGCUUGGGCUUAAGACCCUCACCCUAGCUACCUGGAAGUCAGUAUUCUGCUAGCAGCCUUCAGAUGAAGAUGUAGAACCCUCAGCUCCUCCUGCACCAUGCCUGCCUGGAUGCUGCCAUGUCCCCGCCUUGAUGAUGAUGGACUGAACCUCUGAACCUGUAAGUCAGCACCAAUUAAAUGCUGUCCUUAUAAGAGUUGCCUUGGUCAUGGUGUCUGUUCACAGCAGUAAAACCCUAACUAAAACAA
ensembl:lncRNA